CACUCGGUAGCACAUGGUGUGCACCUGCUUAACUUUGCGAUUUCUUAUGUUUGAGAGUUUAUGCGGGAGGUUCUCGGUUCGAUUCCGGGUCGGGUGG